rnacentral:rRNA from 1 species
GAUGAACGCUGGCGGCGUGCUUAACACAUGCAAGUCGAACGAUGAAGCCCAGCUUGCUGGGUGGAUUAGUGGCGAACGGGUGAGUAUCACGUGAGUAACCUGCCCUUAACUCUGGGAUAAGCCUGGGAAACUGGGUCUAAUACCGGAUAGGAGCGUCCACCGCAUGGUGGGUGUUGGAAAGAUUUAUCGGUUUUGGAUGGACUCGCGGCCUAUCAGCUUGUUGGUGAGGUAAUGGCUCACCAAGGCGACGACGGGUAGCCGGCCUGAGAGGGUGACCGGCCACACUGGGACUGAGACACGACCCAGACUCCUACGGGAGGCAGCAGUGGGGAAUAUUGCACAAUGGGCGCAAGCCUGAUGCAGCGACGCCGCGUGAGGGAUGACGGCCUUCGGGUUGUAAACCUCUUUCAGUAGGGAAGAAGCGAAAGUGACGGUACCUGCAGAAGAAGCACCGGCUAACUACGUG